AUUGAACGCUGGCGGCAGGCUUAACACAUGCAAGUCGAGCGGGGGAAGGUAGCUUGCUACCGGACCUAGCGGCGGACGGGUGAGUAAUGCUUAGGAAUCUGCCUAUUAGUGGGGGACAACAUCUCGAAAGGGAUGCUAAUGCCGCAUACGUCCUACGGGAGAAAGCAGGGGAUCUUCGGACCUUGCGCUAAUAGAUGAGCCUAAGUCGGAUUAGCUAGUUGGUGGGGUAAAGGCCUACCAAGGCGACGAUCUGUAGCGGGUCUGAGAGGAUGAUCCGCCAAACUGGGACUGAGACACGGCCCAGACUCCUACGGGAGGCAGCAGGGGGGAAUAUUGGACAAUGGGGGGAACCCUGAUCCAGCCAUGCCGCGUGUGUGAAGAAGGCCUUAUGGUUGUAAAGCACUUUAAGCGAGGAGGAGGCUACUCUAGUUAAUACCUAGGGAUAGUGGACGUUACUCGCAGAAUAAGCACCGGCUAACUCUGUGCCAGCCGCCGCCGUAACAC
rnacentral:rRNA from 1 species